CCCUUAGAUGUUCUGGGCCGCACGCGCGCUACACUGAUCAGUGCAACAAGCAUCCGUCCUUGGCCGACAGGCCCGGGCAAUCUUUGAACGCUGAUCGUGAUGGGGAUAGACUUUUGCAAUUUUUGGUCUUCAACGAGGAAUUCCUAGUAAACGCAAGUCAUCAACUUGCAUUGAUUACGUCCCUGCCCUUUGUACACACCGCCCGUCGCUCCUACCGAUUGAAUGGUCCGGUGAAGCGUUCGGACCGUGGCCUUUGGACGGUUCGCCGUCUGUUGGCUGCGGGAAGUUCGUUAAACCUUAUCAUUUAGAGGAAGGAGAAGUCGUAACA
rnacentral:rRNA from 1 species